rnacentral:rRNA from 1 species
AUUCUGAGGCGUGAUGGGGAAGGUUCUAAGGAACCGAAGUAUCUGAUUCCAUGCUUCCAAGAAAAGCAUCUAGAAAGAGAAAUAGUGCCCGUACCGCAAACCGACACAGGUAGGUGAGGAGAGAAUCCUAAGGCCGGCGGAAGAAUUGCAGUUAAGGAACUAGGCAAAUUGACCCCGUAACUUCGGGAGAAGGGGUGCCUGCGAGAGCAGGCCGCAGAGAAUAGGCACAAGCAACUGUUUAACAAAAACACAGGUCUCUGCUAAAGCGAAAGCUGAUGUAUAGGGGCUGACGCCUGCCCGGUGCUGGAAGGUUAAGGGGAACACUUAGCGUAAGCGAAGGUGUGAACUUAAGCCCCAGUAAACGGCGGCCGUAACUAUAACGGUCCUAAGGUAGCGAAAUUCCUUGUCAGGUAAGUUCUGACCCGCACGAAUGGCGUAAUGACUUGUGCACUGUCUCAACUGCAAAUCCGGCGAAGUUGUAGUGCGAGUGAAGAUGCUCGCUACCCGCGAUUGGACGGAAAGACCCCGUAGAGCUUUACUGUAGCUUAGCAUUGAAUUUCGGUAUUGUCUGUACAGGAUAGGUGGGAGACUGGGAAAUCAGAGCGUCAGCUUUGAUGGAGUCAUCCUUGGGAUACCACCCUGAUAGUACUGGAAUUCUAACUGGAUGCCAUGAAUCUGGUGACAGGACAUUGUUAGGUGGGCAGUUUGACUGGGGCGGUCGCCUCCUAAAAAGUAACGGAGGCGCCCAAAGGUUCCCUCAGAACGGUCGGAAAUCGUUCGUAGAGUGCAAAGGCAUAAGGGAGCCUGACUGCGAGACCUACAAGUCGAGCAGGGACGAAAGUCGGGCUUAGUGAUCCGGUGGUACCUCGUGGGAGGGCCAUCGCUCAACGGAUAAAAGCUACCUCGGGGAUAACAGGCUGAUCUCCCCCAAGAGUUCACAUCGACGGGGAGGUUUGGCACCUCGAUGUCGGCUCGUCGCAUCCUGGGGCUGAAGUAGGUCCCAAGGGUUGGGCUGUUCGCCCAUUAAAGCGGCACGCGAGCUGGGUUCAGAACGUCGUGAGACAGUUCGGUCCCUAUCCGUCGCGGGCGCAGGAAAUUUGAGAAGAGCUGUCCUUAGUACGAGAGGACCGGGAUGGACCGACCUAUGGUGUACCAGUUGUUUCGCCAGAAGCAUAGCUGGGUAGCUAAGUCGGGACGGGAUAAACGCUGAAAGCAUCUAAGCGUGAAGCCUCCUUCAAGAUGAGAUUUCCCAUAGCGUAAGCUAGUAAGACCCCUUGAAGACUACAAGGUUGAUAGGUCAGAGGUGUAAGUGUGGCAACAUAUUUAGCUGACUGAUACUAAUAGGUCGAGGGCUUGACCAA